rnacentral:rRNA from 1 species
UACGGGGGGGGCAAGCGUUGUUCGGAAUUACUGGGCGUAAAGGGCUCGUAGGCGGCCAACUAAGUCGGAUGUGAAAUCCCCAGGCUUAACUUGGGAACUGCAUCCGAUACUGGACGGCUUGAAUCCGGGAGAGGGAUGCGGAAUUCCAGGUGUAGCGGUGAAAUGCGUAGAUAUCUGGAGGAACACCGGUGGCGAAGGCGGCAUCCUGGACCGGCAUUGACGCUGAUGAGCGAAAGCCAGGGGAGCAAACGGG